rnacentral:rRNA from 1 species
UACGUAGGGUGCGAGCGUUUAAUCGGAAUUACUGGGCGUAAAGCGUGCGCAGGCGGUUUUGUAAGUCUGUCGUGAAAUCCCCGGGCUCAACCUGGGAAUUGCGAUGGAGACUGCAAGGCUAGAAUCUGGCAGAGGGGGGUAGAAUUCCACGUGUAGCAGUGAAAUGCGUAGAGAUGUGGAGGAACACCGAUGGCGAAGGCAGCCCCCUGGGUCAAGAUUGACGCUCAUGCACGAAAGCGUGGGGAGCAAACAGG